UGGAAUUAUUACAUUAUUAAUAUUUUCAUCUGCUGGCUGGCAUAUUCACCCUGAAACAGAGCUUUGCAAAAUGAUGGAGAAUCCGUGAAGAAUUGGUCUCAGAAAUGAGCAACGCUCUCGCCCGCUGUGAACUGUUCAAAUCAUCCAGUUUGCUUGACUUUUUGAAGAUCCUGCCUCAUGUGGUCCGCGCUACGAGGCCAAAGGAGACGGAGCUCCAAGCUCGGUGGGGCUCCCACUUUGAUACCCGGCCCAACAUGGCGUCCUGUGACAUCACGUGGCAGGGGGUCUCUGUGAAGCUAAUCUCUAAUAAGGGAUGAAACGCUGCAUCUGAUGAAGGUUGAUCUUUCGAGAACCACUUUAAGAGGAGCUGUUAAUGAUGACGACUUUGGACGGUUGAAGUGGAAAUGUUAAUGAAGGACCACCACUCGGUUUGAUUCGGUUCAUUUAAUGAGACACGUCACUGAUUUAUGGAUUAGAAAUGAAUAUAACCUAAUGACAUUUUGUGAAAACACACUAAACUGAACCACUCAUUUAUGAAUCACAAUACCACACAUUACAAAUUAUAAACAGCCGUUUUUAUGUGGGAAAGUACUAUUUUACUUGUGGCGUUUGUAUACUGAUUAAGUUACUUCUUAUCAGUCAAACCUGGCAACAUACGGUUAUUGGCAGAUACGUUACCGCCACAUCGGCAACAACGGACACUUCGACGUUAAACACCACAGAAUUAGAAGAACAACAGGAGACGUUUAUGUGCGUUUCCUCCAGACAACGUUGAACGAGCAUCCCGGAAGCAGCUUCGGACGGAGGCGCUCCUGCUUUAAAUGCUGGACAGGUGCUGACAUGUCUCAAACUCCCCCCUUCCUCAGUGAGUGAGCGGUUUGACCUGGUGUUGGCAGUUGAUGGCCCAGUAGACCUGCCUGCGUGCAUUUGAAUGUCAAAGAGCAUCUUGGAGCUGUCACGGCCCGCCUGCCACACAAGAGGAACUUCCCUCCAGUCCUCGGCGUUACCCACAUGGCAAGAGGAUGUGCAGCGGCUGAUGUGGAGGAAAGACAAUCAGGACGGGGGUAAAGCAACAGCAGCGGAAGGCUUUAAAAGUGGUUUGACUUUCAUUUGCAGUGUAUCAGGAAAACCGACGUGGACGUUUUACGCCUGUUGUCCACAAAG
rnacentral:lncRNA from 1 species